GUUUGAUCCUGGCUCAGAUUGAACGCUGGCGGCAUGCUUUACACAUGCAAGUCGAACGGCAGCACGGGGGCAACCCUGGUGGCGAGUGGCGAACGGGUGAGUAAUGCAUCGGAACGUGUCUUCGAGUGGGGGAUAACGCACCGAAAGGUGUGCUAAUACCGCAUACGCUCUACGGAGGAAAGCAGGGGACCUGCAAGGGCCUUGUGCUAGGGGAGCGGCCGAUGUCCGAUUAGCUUGUUGGUGGGGUAACGGCCCACCAAGGCAACGAUCGGUAGCUGGUCUGAGAGGAUGAUCAGCCUCACUGGGACUGAGACACGGCCCAGACUCCUACGGGAGGCAGCAGUGGGGAAUAUUGGACAAUGGGCGCAAGCCUGAUCCAGCCAUGCCGCGUGGAUGAUGAAGGCCCUAGGGUUGUAAAGUCCUUUCGGCGGGGAAGAUAAUGACGGUACCCGCAGAAGAAGCCCCGGCUAACUUCGUGCCAGCAGCCGCGGUAAC
rnacentral:rRNA from 1 species